UAGCAAAGAGGAAGAAAGAAACAACACUGGUGAAGGAACUCCGAUUGUCAAGACAACACGAUGCGUUGCUAGCUGGGGAGACAUUCGUGCAACUUACAGAGAGAUAUAAAUAUAUUAGUUUGGGGAUUGCUACUUUCAGAGCAAAUAUUGCAUUGUCACAAAUAUCAUACCCUCAAGCCAAGGACCUUGGGAGUCCAGAGGAAGGUCUUUUUACCAUCAGCAUUCUCUCCUGUGUUCAAGGACUGACAGCCAAAGAUGGCUAGAUCACACUCUAAUAUUUUUCCUCUGGAAGACAGAAUGAAGAUAUGACAGUGGUUCUGCAUGAGUUUGGAUAAUUAUAUUUUUCAUAUUGCUUGGCAGUUAAGAUUGACAACUACUGAUUAUUUAAGGUACUGUGUAAUCUUUAAAAAUAAUUCAAAACACAAAAGUAAUAAUUGGAUAUAAUUGCAAAACCAAUUGAUAUGGUCCCAGCACAUGCUUGAGUUUAUG
rnacentral:lncRNA from 10 species